UGAUUCAGCAAUUUGUGCUUUCAUUAGAAUAAGUUGUUUUUCUACCACCAAACAUAAUAAACUAUAGUGCCAUGCCAUAGGCUCGUAACAUGUCAAGAAAGAGAUCAUUCUCCGAGCUGCAAGGGGAAACAGGCUUUGAAACUGAGAGUAUUCCAGAGCAAGUCAACGAGACCACAGUAUGGUAUAGAGGCAACAGAAGGGUCUGUCCUCACUAUGGAGAAUUAGUUACCCUCAAAACGUUUAGAACACACAAAAGAUUAUACUAUGAUCAAGCCAAGAAUAUCUGGAUGUCAGUUGACCCAUCUUCGGCUUUGGAUACUGAUUCUGAUAGCUCCCCUGACACAGAAGUCAUCAUUAAGAACAAAAACCGAGUGGAAGAGGAACUUACUUUUUCGCCCUCCAACCCUGAUACAUCAGUUGUGGAACUGAUACAUCAGCAUCCAGUUGUGGAACUGAUAAUUGUGAAGAGGAGUGGAACGAGAGUGAUGAAGACGUGAUCGAAGAAAGUGAGCCUGAGGAAUGUGACGUUGAUUUUGACAGCAUGUCAUCCUCCUCAUCUAUCCUUGCAAGAUGGUUAGUACUCUUUUUGCUACAUCUUCAAUCAGCAUUUAGACUGUCGAAGGCAGCUGUUCAGUGCUAGCCUCCUUCGCAGCCUCUCCUUUUUCUGUUCUUUGUCAUAGUUCAAUAAGAUAAAAUACGGAAUUAAUUGGAGGAACAAAGAAAGAAAGAAGGAAGAGACAAAGAAAAGGAGAGCCUGCCUUGCUAAGUCGCGUGACGGUAGACGAGUGGUAGACGAGUGAAAAUGAACGUGGGAAAUCACUAGCUGGGCGGAGCCUGACAGAGCAAAAAGCCUCAGCAUGCAAGUGUUCCAAACUCUAACAUAAAAGUUGUUAGCAUCGUAGAUAGUAAGCCAGAAUCAAGAAUCAAGCGUGGAGACAUCGUAGACGAGGGUAAAGGCUAAAGACUAGAUCUAUAUCUUUUCCUGAGUUCAGAACAGACCCACUUGACUAGUAGAUAUAAUUAUUACAGCAGUAUAGUCUACUCUACUCUAGUCUUUCAUACUUCCUCUACUGACUAAAGGUCUCGCGAAGGCUGACUCUACUGUACUGUACUGUUCCAGAUUAUGUUCCUGGUAAAUGCGCUCCAAGUACUGUGUGGGAGGACGAGGUUUUAUCUCGCCCACGCUCGUUAAAAUUUGUCUACGUCAGUAGGGGAUCACGCGACUUAGCAAGGCAGGCUCUCCUUUUUCUUUGUCACUUCCUUCUUUCUUUCUUUGUUCCUCCAAUUUUCUCUUCUGUGUGACCAAGAACAGAGGCUGCGAAGGAGGCUAGUUCAGUGCCUCUUUUCAUUUCUUGCAACUUUCUUGUGUGUUCUUGGUCAGUUCUCCACACAGUGCAAGGAAAUGGCUAAAGCAUUUCCAAGAUCCAUUUAUCUGGCCAGAGGUCAAUUCUGUGAAAAACAUUUAUUUAAACGACUUGUGGUUUGUCGCAAGUGUAAACAAGUUUACCCAUUUUAAGACUGUGUCGAAUUGGUUGGAGGAAAACAAAAGAGUCCAUUUCAACGAUUCCCUCAGCAUACACAGCAUCGAAUGCGCAAACCGUGUGAUACACCAUUGUUAAGGGUCGUAAAACUCAUCAGUGGGAAGCAGAUCUUAUAUAUCCCAAUCUUACAUCUUACAUAUUGCUAUCUAGGAUUGGAAGUUGCUUUGAGAAGACUUGUACAGAAACCGAUGUUCUUAGAAAGAUGCAGUGAAUGGCAAAAAAGGAGUGUACACCCUGGAACAUUAAAGGAUGCAGAGUUUGGAGUUUGGGCUGAUUUCCAGUCGGACAAAUACGGAAGGUUUUUGCAAGAUUCUAAUAGUAGAGUAUUCUAGAAUGUUCUGGUAGAUUGUUUGUAGAUACAUCUAGAACCUUCUAGGAACUGUUUUGGUGUUUUUGGUAAAUACUCCGGUGUUGUUACAAUGAUCAGUCUUUAUGUCUAAAAGUCAAAUGACAACAAAAUGACAACAAAUCUACACGAUACUACAUGGUGGCAGCGGUGAACUAUGGCCCACUUACGUCUACAACCUCCUGAGCCGUUUAACUUUCGCAACCCCGAUGACUGGCCUCGAUGGAAACGCCGGUUUGAGCAGUUCAGAGAAGCGUCCUCUCUGACAGACGACAGUGCCAAGUUAAUACUCUUCUGUACUGAAGAAGCAGAUGCGGUGUUAUCAUCUACGAAUGUAACCGCAGAGGAGCGUGCUAGACUGUUCUCGAGAAAUUCGACGCUUUUUUCCAAGUGAGAAGAAAUGUGAUUUUUGAACGGGCACGAUUCAACCAAAGGAACCAACUCAGUGGAGAGACGAUGGAACAGUACAUAAUGGAAGUUAGCCGAAAGCUGUAACUACGAAGGACGAGAUGAUCCGUGAUCGACUAGUAGUGGGAAUUUGUGACAAUGCACUCUCAAAGCGACUGCAACUGGAUGCAGCGCUCACUCUGGACAAAGCCAAAAAGACGGUCAAAAAGACGGUACGUCAACAAGAGGCAGUGGGAACAACUGCUCAAAGGAACAGUGAAGGACUUAGACCAGCUUCGACAACGAAAAGGAUUCUGUAAACAAUGGAACCAACCAAGUCUAAUUGCCAACGCUGUGGGAGAGGCCAACACAUUCGUGAGAAAUGCCCUAGCUACAUGUCACACGUGUCAGAAGAAAGGCCACUACAAGUGUUUUUCCAAGAAUGUAUCCGAGUUGGAAAGUGGUAAUGAGAUGGAUGCAGCUUAUCUGGACACAGUUUCGAACAGCCGUCUGGCUGACACUCGUUUAAGAUGGACACAGGAGCGGAGGUCACAGUGAUAUCGAUGGCCGACACUUAAAGAAGCCGCAGCUGACGACAGCUAGCAAAGCUCUAUAUGGACCUUCAAGAAUCAAGUUGAAAGUAAAGGGAAUGUUCGUGGCAUACUACAAAAAUCUCCAUACUACAAAAAUCUCAAGAGUCUCCGCUAACGCCUAUAGAAAAGGAGAUACAGACUGCGACGUAGCAGUGUGUCUCCCCUAUUAGUGAAAACAGGAGGACAGGUAAUCCAGCCAAUCACUUUGCUCGUAUUCCGAGUGGGAAGGACUAGCAGCUUCAUUCUCACCAGUUGCUGCUGACGUCAGCUAGCUAGUGAAAUUCGGUACACUGGUAAGCUGGACUCACUGUUCAAAGACGAUAAAGCUAGAGUUUGGCAGACCUCCAGAUACCGUGGGCUUAAAAUACGGACACUGAGACCAAGUUAACAUUACACAUACCUGUAUAUGGGUGGUACAAGGAACUGGGUGAAGCCAAGGACUACAUCAGCGGUGACAAUCUUCGUGCAUCUUGAAGUAUACGAGGCCCCGGACAGCCCCGCAAACUUGAGUGUAGCUCUGGGACAGCAGAUCAACGGGAUGAAACACAAAACGUGGAUACUUUUGAGUUUCGUUACCAUUUAGGGGUAAGGCAGUCAGAGUGUUUCUCAGUGGCGACUAUGUGUUCUUGUGCUAUAUACCUAUCAGGAGCUUCAGGUAAACACGUAUCAUAAGACCUUUUUGUAGGAACCAAGACUGAGGAACCAAGACUGUCUUAAGAACCCACCCACCCACUCUCUCUCAGAGAGUAUUUGGUACCUAGAGGGCAGCCGGGGCUUUGAUCUAAUUUCUGCCCAAUUUGAAUCCCAGUACAACACCCACAGCGAGCUUACAAUAGAUGAAGCAAUGGUAAAGUUCAAAGGUAGACUGGGGUUCAAGCAGUAUCUCAGCAGUAUCUCAAGAAUAAUUUUUGUUUUGCGUUUUGCGUGGUAUAUACUGGUGCGCAUGCAUCAACUGACGCGACGGCUAGAGUGGUGUACAGCCUUACAAUCCUACACUCUACGUUGACAAUUACUACACAUCGCCCAAACUAUUUCUGACACUGUAUAACAAGGGUGCUGGUGCUGCUCGUUAUACACGAAAAAAUUUCCCUAAGAACAAGGGCAAGGGGCACUAUGACUAUCGUUCCUCUGGGCCUCUCCUAGCUAGUAGAUAGUCGUCCCAUUUAUUUACUAUUCAUUUAGCUGUCAGCCCGACUGUAGCAGAGGAGACCAACUAAUUGCGUGCUACAAUUUGGGUAGGCGCUUCAAGAAGUGGUGGAAGCGUGUGUUUUCAUACCUGCUAGAGACCAGUGCUUACCACCUAUGGAAAUUUGCACGAAAGCAUUGGAGUUACAUUACAUUCAAAUUGGAGCUUGCAGAGCAGCCAACAGAGGUAGACGAAGGACUGCAGCUAGGGACUGUACCACCCUUGAGACUGUACCACCCUUGAUCACACUCCCGAGCACAAUGACAAGGCACAACAAGGCACAACAGUGCGAUGCUGUCAGAUGUAAAAAGAGGGCACAGUAUAGGCACGAGAUGCGUAUCAGAGCAGACAGCGCAACUGCUGGAAGAUAUACCAUCAUGAGCCUCUUAGGUGUGGUAAAGCUCUCAGUUUUUUUCAUUUUGUUUUCUUUUUUCAGUUUGUUUGUAAGUGGAGAGCUCACUAGGGGGAUGAACCACUAUAAAAAAACUAACGCUCCGGUGUUUGUUUUCAGUUUGAUUUUCAGUUUGUUUGAAAGUGGAGAGCACCUGGAGAGCACGGCUGCCGACACCACUAUAAAAAAAAAAGAACGUUCUGGUUAUUUUCAGUUUGUACUAUACUCAAGUUGUUUCUCAGGUCACUAGGGGUGAUCCACUAUAAAAAAACGAGCUCUGUGGUGUACCUCCUGGGUGGCUUGGAAAGCAUUACAUCUAUGUGUUCCUAAGAGCAUUGUGAACACUUUUAGUACGAUAGUUUAGUGACAAUGCGUGUAUCUGCAUACAAUGGUAAUUCGGUACACAUGUGAAUACAAUAGUAAAUUACGGGGCGUGGCAACGCAUGAUAAUAUUCCAGAUGUCCAGUGCUACGUAAGAAACCAUAACAUGCAAAUAUUCUGUAAAUUCCAAUUUCCGAGAAAGGGUUAAAUCAGCUCUGGCUGGUCGACUUCGGCAGUGGGUGUGUCUAUAGUUAUAGUGAGCAUUAUGUGCAUUAUGUGUCCCCGUGUCAGUUAAAUCAGCUCUGGCUGCUCAACUUCGGCAGUGGGUGUGUGUACUAUAGUUAUAGUGUGUCAGCUCUGGCUGGUCGACUUCGGCAGUGGGUGUGUGUACUAUAGUUAUAGUGAGCAUUAUGUGUCCCCGUGUCAUUAUGUGUCCCGUCAGUGGGUGUGUGUACUAUAGUAGCGUGUGUACUAUAGUAGCAUUGCGUCCCCGUGUCGUCGACUUCGGCAGUGGGUGUGUGUUAUAGUGAGCAUUGUGUGUCAGCCCCGUCCGUGUCAGUUAAAUCAGCUCUGGCUGGUCGACUUUGGCAGUGUUAUAUAUAUAUAAUUAUCAGCUCUAGCUGCAUGGCUAGUCAACUUUAGUGGCUUUGAAUUGUCACACCGGUCGGGAGUCUGUGUAACAAAGACUCAAUGACUCAAUGAAUCAGAACCAUGUUAGAAUACAUGGACACUUGUAUGGAAUGUUCUAGAUUAUGUUAUGUUCUAUUUAAGUGUAAUUUCUAGUUUUAC